GGAUCCACACUACAAACAUGGCUGCUUUGGGGCCUGGUUUGUGGACCAUGAGAAGUGCUGCCAAGUUCCGGGCUUGCUCUUUUCUCCUCUCUGCUCAGGCCUCUCCCUCCUCCUUCAUGAUUCAGGCUGCUUUAGGCCACGCAGCUGUGGCUCAUAUUGAACCUUCACUGCAUCUGUGAGGCAGGUACAGCUGACACCCUUACUGGUGACUCACAGAGGAUCAAAGGUCUGAGUGAUUUCAGAUGACGUGCACCACCCUCCUGGGCCAUGGAGAUCCACGUGGCUAGGAUGGUUUCCAGCUAGACCUACGGCUCAGGGAGCUGCAGACCUCCUGGGAAAGUUGUGAGGACCAUGUGGGGUGAUGCAUGUCACCGCACAGUACCCAGUGCCUGGCACGUGCUGGAGUCAUGCAAACUGUAGGCGAUGGAAGCUGCCGGACACCUUGAGAAGCCAGUGCAUCUCCCUGGACACACCCCAUGUCAAGGCAGGUUCUAGCAUCCCCUUGCUCCCUCAUGCCCUGCACUUUCCCUCAACCCCCUUCGGCCUGCACCUUUUAGGGUCUCACACGAGGAUGGCAGUGGGUAGCAGGGGAGGAAGGUGCUGAUACGGAGGGGAGGGCCAGGCCCGAGAGCCUGACAGUGAUUUGGGAUCCCUUGUGGGGUGGUUAGAGGGGGCAGCCGUAGAGUCUUACGCACCAGUA